rnacentral:rRNA from 1 species
GAUGAACGCUGGCGGCGUGCCUAAUACAUGCAAGUCGAGCGAACAGACGAGGAGCUUGCUCCUCUGACGUUAGCGGCGGACGGGUGAGUAACACGUGGAUAACCUACCUAUAAGACUGGGAUAACUUCGGGAAACCGGAGCUAAUACCGGAUAAUAUAUUGAACCGCAUGGUUCAAUAGUGAAAGACGGUUUUGCUGUCACUUAUAGAUGGAUCCGCGCCGCAUUAGCUAGUUGGUAAGGUAACGGCUUACCAAGGUGACGAUGCGUAGCCGACCUGAGAGGGUGAUCGGCCACACUGGAACUGAGACACGGUCCAGACUCCUACGGGAGGCAGCAGUAGGGAAUCUUCCGCAAUGGGCGAAAGCCUGACGGAGCAACGCCGCGUGAGUGAUGAAGGUCUUCGGAUCGUAAAACUCUGUUAUUAGGGAAGAACAAAUGUGUAAGUAACUAUGCACGUCUUGACGGUACCUAAUCAGAAAGCAACGGCUAACUACGUG